UAUGAUGCAGGCCUUACAAGGAGC
rnacentral:piRNA from 1 species